GCGUCGGUAAUGCAGCGGUUCAGCACGCGCCCCCGAAUAGGGUGAUAAGUGGGUUCGAAUCCCACAUUACGCA